UCCCUGGCAGUCCAGUGGUUAAGACUCUGUGCUUUGAAUGCAGGGGUCCCAGGUUCAAUCCCUGGUUGGGGAA